GUCCAGACAAGCCGGCGGAAGUGACGUCAUGACCCGGCAUGUUUCCUUGGAAACGGGGACGCUAUCGGCUACUUUCCUCUGAGGGAGGGAUCUGGGGUUUCCCGAGUAGCUUCCUACUCGCACCCGGAAACCGAGAUGCGCUUGGGACUCUCAGAGGCGAGCGUCGGGAUGUGCCCCGGACCAACCUCGCUAUGGCGCCGGGUCCCGCCAGACAUUGGCCUUCCGUUCCCGCCGCGAGGGAGUUGGGCUGUCAGCUGAGUAUUCAGGAGUUCAGGAGAGAGGAAGGGGACGCUCCGCCCGCCCGCUGUGCCUGCGCGCCCUGUGCCCGGGCAGCCCGACUUAUACCGGGAAGAACCGAGGUGGCCAGCGCCACCAGACCCCUGCCGGAAGCGCGGCGCUGUCUCCCACGCGUGUCCCCUCUAGACUCGUUCCCUUUCGCCUCGCUCGGCGAGGGGCACUGUGUAAAACUCAGUAAAGCUCUCCAGUUUGAAAAUUGAACGA
rnacentral:lncRNA from 1 species